GUCUCCGUAGCUCAUCAGGACAGAGCGACAGAUUCCUAAUCUGUAGGUAACAGGUUCGAGCCCUGUCGGGGACA
rnacentral:tRNA from 1 species